AGACUGCCAGGCUAUGUCCCGGGAUGGCGCAUGCUGCCCUCUACAGUCGGAUGGGGGGAAACCUCAAAAUAAAAGAGCACCAAAGAUCUGAUUUUAAAGAAAACAAUCCUGACAUCAUCAGGGAUGGUAGUAUCACACGUCUGGAAUGACCCAAGCAGGUCUUUUCCGUUUUUGAUGAACCACACCGUGCAGCAAUAGAUGAUGAGGCCCGCUAUUGUUGACUGAGAGAAGCUGGUCAGCAGGUGAUGAGAGAGGAUCUUUAACUUCCUAAGGAUAUAAAGCCUUUCCCCACCCGAUGGGAGAUGUGUGGUGUGGGUGAGAUCGACCAGGAUGUCCACACCAAGGAACUUAAAGCUCUCCACUUCCUCCACCUGUACGCCUGGAGCAGAGUGCUCGAAUCUGAGAUGAUCAACUUUCAGUGAUGAAAUGCAGGUCACUCAGUGCAGAGAACCUUUGAUCAUUAGUGGAGUUGGAGAUGCAGCAUGAGGCCCGUAUUUGUAACUUCACAGAUCACCAUGUCACUAACAGA